AGGGUUUGAUUAUGGCUCAGGACGAACGCUGGCGGCGCGCCUAACACAUGCAAGUCGAACGAGAGAGAGGAAGCUUGCUUCCUCAAUCGAGUGGCGAACGGGUGAGUAACGCGUGAGGAACCUGCCUCAAAGAGGGGGACAACAGUUGGAAACGACUGCUAAUACCGCAUAAGCCCACAGGUCGGCAUCGACCAGAGGGAAAAGGAGCAAUCCGCUUUGAGAUGGCCUCGCGUCCGAUUAGCUGGUUGGUGAGGUAAUGGCCCACCAAGGCGACGAUCGGUAGCCGGACUGAGAGGUUGAACGGCCACAUUGGGACUGAGACACGGCCCAG
rnacentral:rRNA from 1 species